rnacentral:rRNA from 1 species
AACGUAGGAGACGAGCGUUAUCCGGAUUUACUGGGCGUAAAGAGCGUGUAGGAGGCAAUACAAGUUGGAUGUAAAAGCUCUCGGCUAAACUGAGAGAGGACGUUCAAGACUGUAGAGCUAGAGGAAGGCAGAGGUAGAUGGAACUCCGGGAGUAGUGGUGAAAUGCGUAGAUAUCCGGAAGAACACCAGAGGCGAAAGCGAUCUACUGGGCCUUAACAGACACUGAGACGCGAAAGCCAGGGUAGCAAACGGGAUUAGAGACCCCGGUAGUCCUGGCCGUAAACGAUGUAGACUAGGCGCUUGUCGGGCAAAACCGAUGAGUGUCGAAGCGAACGCGAUAAGUCUACCGCCUGGGGAGUACGGUCGCAAGAUUAAA